rnacentral:rRNA from 1 species
AACGAAGCAGAGGGGCGGAAUUUUUUCGGAGCGUAAGCCCCCCUGACUGAGUGGCGGACGGGUGAGUAACGCGUGGACAACCUACCCCGCACUGGGGGACAACAGCUGGAAACGGCUGCUAAUACCGCAUAUGCGCACGGCCCCGCAUGGGGCCGCGCGGAAAGCGCAUGCGGUGCGGGAUGGGUCCGCGUCUGAUUAGCUUGUUGGCGGGGUAACAGCCCACCAAGGCGACGAUCAGUAGCCGGCCUGAGAGGGUGGACGGCCACAUUGGGACUGAGACACGGCCCAGACUCCUACGGGAGGCAGCAGUGGGGGAUAUUGCACAAUGGGGGCUUUUUUGAUGCAGCGACGCCGCGUGAGCGAUGGAGUACUUCGGUAUGUAAAGCUCUGUCAGCAGGGAAGAGAAUGACGGUACCUGACCAAGAAGCCCCGGCUAAAUACGUGCCAGCAGCCGCGGUAAUACGUAUGGGGCAAGCGUUAUCCGGAUUUACUGGGUGUAAAGGGAGCGUACGCGGCAGGGCAAGCCUGAUGUGAAAAGCCCGGGGCUCAACCCCGGGACUGCAUUGGGAACUGCCCCGCUCGAGUGCCGGAGGGGCAGGCGGAAUUCCUAGUGUAGCGGUGAAAUGCGU